GAUGAACGCUGGCGGCGUGCCUAAUACAUGCAAGUCGAGCGAACAGACGAGGAGCUUGCUCCUCUGACGUUAGCGGCGGACGGGUGAGUAACACGUGGAUAACCUACCUAUAAGACUGGGAUAAUUUCGGGAAACCGGAGCUAAUACCGGAUAAUAUAUUGAACCUCAUGGUUCACUAGUGAAAGACGGUUUUGCUGUCACUUAUAGCUGGAUCCGCGCCGCAUUAGCUAGUUGGUAAGGUAACGGCUUACCAAGGCGACGAUGCGUAGCCGACCUGAGGGGGUGAACGGCCAGACUGGAACUGAGACACGGUACAGACUCCGACGGGGAGCAGCAGUAGAGAAUCUUACGGGAGGGACGAAAGCCGGACGGAGCAACACCGCGGGAGUGAUGAAGGUCUACGGAUCGUAAAACUCUGAUAUUAGGAAAGAACAAAUGUGUAAGUAACUAGGCACGUCAUGACGGUACCUAAUCAGAAAGCCACGGCUAACUACGUG
rnacentral:rRNA from 1 species